AGCCCUGGGGUGUCACAUGCCAGAUUGCAAACCUGGAGAAGCAGAAGAAGUUCUGCCGGGGCUU
rnacentral:tRNA from 1 species